rnacentral:rRNA from 1 species
UACGGAGGGUGCAAGCGUUGUUCGGAAUUAUUGGGCGUAAAGGGCGCGUAGGCGGUCCUGUUAGUCGGGUGUGAAAGCCCCGGGCUCAACCUGGGAAGUGCAUUCGAGACUGCAGUGCUGGAGUACGGAAGAGGGGGGCGGAAUUCCUGGUGUAGGGGUGAAAUCCGUAGAUAUCAGGAGGAACAUCAGUGGCGAAGGCGGCCCUCUGGUCCAGUACUGACACUCAAGUGCGAAAGCGUGGGGAGCAAACAGG